UGUGUAGGCGGCUUUGUUAGUUUGGUGUGAAAUCUCCCGGCUUAACUGGGAGGGUGCGCCGAAUACUGCAAGGCUAGAGUACUGGAGAGGAUAGCGGAAUUCCUGGUGUAGCGGUGAAAUGCGUAGAUAUCAGGAGGAACACCGGCGGUGUAGACGGCUAUCUGGACAGUCACUGACGCUGAGACACGAAAGCGUGGGUAGCAAACA
rnacentral:rRNA from 1 species